rnacentral:rRNA from 1 species
AUGAUCCUUGUCUCUUUCAACAUACAUGGCAAUACUUUCAGUUUCACUAUGAAAGGAAAGAAGACAAUAACUGCUGCUAUCUUCAAUACACCUGAGAAAGUUAAAGAAAUUCCAGCUGAGAAAGUAAGCAAGUUACUAGAGAAAGGAGCGGAGGUUUUUUUACUGCAGAUGCACAAUAUAGUCAUGGAAGCUCCAGCUGGUUUCCAAACCCCUCCCCAAUUGCAGAAAUUACUUCUGGACUAUGCAGAUCUCUUUGAGGAACCUCACACCCUACCACCUCAUAGGGAUUGUGAUCACACCAUCCCUCUGCAACCUGGAGUUGAACCUCCCCACUGUAGACCAUAUAGAGUACCACAACAUCAAAAGAAACAAAUGGAAGAGAAAAUCAAGAAAAUGUUGGCUGCUCAUUUUAUCAGACACAGUCAGAGUCCAUAUGCUGCUCCUGUCAUUCUGGUAAAGAAAAAUGACAAUUCAAUGAGAUUGUGCACUGAUAUCAGGAAACUCAACUCAGUCACAGUUAAAAACAAAUUUCCUAUACCAGCAAUUGAAAAUCUCCUGGAUGAAUUACAUGGAGCUAAGUACUUCUCCAAGUUAGACUUGAGGGAAGGAUAUCACCAGAUUAGGAUGCACCCUGAUAACAUCCAUAAAACUGCUUUCAGAACAUUCUUGGGGCACUUUGAAUAUCUGGUUAUGCCUUUUGUAUUGUCUAAUGCACCAGGCACAUUUCAAGCUCUAAUGAAUAGCAUUUUUGGCCCUUAUCUGAGGAAGUUUGUGCUAGUUUUCUUUGAUGACAUAUUGAUUUACAACAAAUCACUCAAGGAGCAUAUGGAACAUAUUUAA